rnacentral:rRNA from 1 species
CCUACGGGAGGCAGCAGUGGGGAAUAUUGCACAAUGGGGGGAACCCUGAUGCAGCAACGCCGCGUGGGUGAAGAAGUACUUCGGUAUGUAAAGCCCUGUCAGCAGGGAAGAAAAUGACGGUACCUGAACAAGAAGCCACGGCUAACUACGUGCCAGCAGCCGCGGUAAUACGUAGGGGGCAAGCGUUAUCCGGAUUUACUGGGUGUAAAGGGAGCGUAGACGGCUAGGCAAGUGUGGAGUGAAAGCCCGUGGCUCAACCGCGGGAUUGCUUUGGAAACUGUGUUCCUGGAGUGCAGGAGGGGUAGGCGGAAUUCCUAGUGUAGCGGUGAAAUGCGUAGAUAUUAGGAGGAACACCGGUGGCGAAGGCGGCUUACUGGACUGUAACUGACGUUGAGGCUCGAAGGCGUGGGGAGCAAACAGGAUUAGAUACCCGAGUAGUC